UUGCAGAUCUAGGUCUAAUGGGCUAUGC
rnacentral:sRNA from 1 species